rnacentral:lncRNA from 1 species
GCGAAAGUGGAGGUGCCAUCGGACGGGGGCGCCAAGAUAGAUAUGAAGUCCCUCAGUCUGGCAAACUCCUCGAUCACAUGCUGCAUGAUUUCAAGCUUUACGAUCCGCAACCUCAUCUCGAAGAGGAUGCGCUGGUCAUACAACAUGCCCUCCAUGUCGUCCCUCAUCACAGUCGGUCCACCACGCGUACCCUAUACCCCAGAUGUGGACCGGGGAACCAUUGGAGUGGGUAACGC